GGAUUCUUCAAAGGACUGGCGGGACGUAUACAAUGCUGGUGGAGUUAUUGGAUCAAUCUUGGUGUCCUUUGCUUGUUUUGGGUUGGUCUGGUAGAAGAAGAAGAACUACCCAUGAAAGAAAUGGUUGGAAAGCUAACGACAAACACAAUGUAAAGUAAAAUAAUUAUCCACGAAGAAGAGCUUUCAUGUAAUGUGAUUUGUGUCUUUUUUUUAAUUAUAUGAAUAAUGAUCCAUUAUAUCAUAUUUAUUAUUAAUUUAUUUAUUA